rnacentral:rRNA from 1 species
AGGUCGAGAAGGAAACAACCUAGAUUAUUAAAUAAAUGUCCCAAAAUUAUAUUAAGUGAACAUAAUCUUUUAUUUAUCAUUAGACCGUCAGUCAGCUGGUUUGGAAAUAAUCAACUGUUAACGCACCUGUAACAAGGCACUGAAACGAAGAUAAUAAAGGAAAAAAUAUACGGGUCUAUUUGAAUAUAAUACAGUAUUAUAAAUAAUUUAUUUAUUAAUAAAUUAUGGUAGCAGAAUAUAUGAUGAUAUAUUUUAAUAUGAAUCAUAAAGAGAAUGCUGGCUUGAGUAACGAUAGGUAAUAUAGGAUUACCCUCCAAUUCAUAAGGUUUUACUAUAAACGAACGGUCCCUAAGGUACUAUGUCGAAAGAUA